rnacentral:lncRNA from 1 species
GCAAUUAAAGCAGCCGGCCCUAAUCUUAAUUCUUACAUUUCACAUAUCUUUACCUUCAUCUCUUUCCCUUCAUCUCUUAGCAAUUCAGGGUUGAUUUCACAGUUUAUCAACGUCACUCAACCAGCAGCAGUCACCACCAAAGUAAGCUCCACUUCUUUUUCGCUUUAUUAUUAUUUUUGCAUCCAAGUGCUAGCUUUUUCAUUUCGAAAGAUAUGUUGUAAACUAUGUAUGCUUUUAGCUUUUUCCAUCAAGACGAAUUCAAAGAGUCCAUUAGUGCCAGGCUGUUAGUUUUUUUUUAUUUUUUGCUCGUAUUCUUCAAUUAUGUCAUUGUUAAAAAUUUUUAAAAAUAAAUUUAUAUAUAUAUAUAUAUAUAAUAUUAGUGCAAGCUUUUUUAUUUCUUGCUCAUACUCUUCAAUUAUAUCACUGUUAAAAAAUUAAAAAUUAAUUAAUUAAUUUUAAUAUAUAUAUAUGAGAUCUUUUAUUCUUCAAUUAAUUUGAAUUAUUUCGUUUAUAUAUGUUAAUAACAUUUUAUUUACUUUUUGGUGUAGGAUUUUUGUUUUCAAGGUGAAAAAGACAAAUGAAGAGAAUUAAAGAAAUUACCUUACUGUAUAAUUUGAAUUUGAAUUAUUGUUAUUUGUAUUAUUAGGGAUUUAUAAUUUGGUAUUUGGAUGACUGCAUAAUAUGGUUUGAGUUAUUUGUAUUUUGUUCCGGAAUGCUAAAUUUGUGAUUUUUUUAUAUUUUAUUUUACUUAAUUUUGUUUAUUAAUUA